GAUGAACGCUGGCGGCGUGCCUAAUACAUGCAAGUCGAGCGAACGGACGAGAAGCUUGCUUCUCUGAUGUUAGCGGCGGACGGGUGAGUAACACGUGGAUAACCUACCUAUAAGACUGGGAUAACUUCGGGAAACCGGAGCUAAUACCGGAUAAUAUUUUGAACCGCAUGGUUCAAAAGUGAAAGACGGUCUUGCUGUCACUUAUAGAUGUAUCCGCGCUGCAUUAGCUAGUUGGUGAGGUAACGGCUUACCAAGGCAACGAUGCAUAGCCGACCUGAGAGGGUGAUCGGCCACACUGGAACUGAGACACGGUCCAGACUCCUACGGGAGGCAGCAGUAGGGAAUCUUCCGCAAUGGGCGAAAGCCUGACGGAGCAACGCCGCGUGAGUGAUGAAGGUCUUCGGAUCGUAAAACUCUGUUAUUAGGGAAGAACAUAUGUGUAAGUAACUGUGCACAUCUUGACGGUACCUAAUCAGAAAGCCACGGCUAACUACGUG
rnacentral:rRNA from 1 species